rnacentral:sRNA from 1 species
GGAAUCUGAUCGAGUUUUAAAUAAUAACCUGAGUAAUGUAAAUUUUUCAAUUAAAUUGGACAAUAAUUCGAAUAUAUUUUACACUGGCGAUCUACUGAAAGGAGUUGUGCAACUUUAGAAGAGCCCAUUUUUAUUGCAGAUUUGACAGUAGAAUUUACAGGUCUAAGUGAAAUUUCAUGGCAUGAUAAAGACUUGAAAGAACACAGAGACGAUUUAAAUAUUUACUAUCGACGAAAACAAGUAUCUCAGCGACACUUUGAACGAAAAUACAUCGUAUCGCGACGUCUGUCUCUGAUUGUCAAUAGUGAAGUACAUUCUGGCAAAGGAAUAUUGGAAAAGACCUUUCAAACCAAAAUACCCCAUGAUUGUGUUUCUUCCGGCAAUUUUGAAUUUGGCUUUGUGUGCUACAAACUGAAAGCAAUCUGCAGGACGUCACAUGGCACAAGGGAAUGCGAAUGCGAUUUAAAAGUUGUGAGGCUUUGCAAUCCCACAAAAGAGCAUCCCUUGUUCGACAUAACAACCUUCAAGGGUGUUAAACUGCAAACUCGCAUGGAGAAAUCUUGUUUUCAACCUGGUGAGGAAAUUCACAUUC